rnacentral:piRNA from 1 species
UGAGCACAGGAAGGCCUUCUGAUGGGAGA